UCCCUCUCCCUGUCUCUCUUCUCUCCCAGAGGCUGAUUCAAACUGUUUUACAGGCCUUUUAUGGCAGUCCAGAAGACUACCUACUUACUCCUUCAGGGGAAGAGAUGAUUUUGCUCAUCCUCUCCCCACAGCUCACCCGACUGAACACACACACACACACACACACACUCCCAAAUUAAAAUAUUCCAGAAAAUGGUCAUAAAUAUUCCCAACUACAUGGUCUGAGAAAAAAAAACUCAGGAAAGCUGCAAACUUCACAGGCCUCCCUGCCUUUUCCUGUCUCCCCUCCCUGGCCCAUCUUCUUUCUCGCUCAAACCUCUCUUCUCUCUGUUUACCUCAUAAAUCCUUCUUUUCAUUCGGUGUCUCCCAGCCCAGCCCAGGCAGCCAGAAGUAAAGGCUCCGGGAACCGACAAUAGUGGUUUUGUGGUGCUGACCCACAAGCGAGCCUGGUAACAAUUACAUGUGAUGUGGAGGGAAACGUUUUUCAGCUUUGGGCCAGAACAGGCCCUGGAGGGUGAUUUCAGCUUUUUUCUUUUUUUUUUUUAAUAGAAAGAAAAAGAAAACCCCCAAACAUUUAAUUCCACAUACACCACAAAUUUGAUUUAUUAUUUCAUUAUACACCCAGUGGAAAAAUCUGCAUUAGAGAAUCCACUGGCUCUGACCUCAGAGUCUCGACAAAAGUGCUUUGUGCUGAGAGGACGCCUGCGUUCGUCCGUGCUCUCUGCCCACUGUCCCUCCUGCCCGGCCACCGCCAGCAGGGUGUGCUGCAGCUUCGCGACCAGCCACUUGAAGGCAGCUGCACGGGAGGAGCGCCCCCCGCUUCCCAGCAGUGCCCGGCUGGAGGUAAACAGCUUCAUGUGGGCCAGGAGGGAAAGGGGCAAUCUUCAAAGACAGAAAAGGUGGAUGAUGACAUUUGAAGAAUCUCAUAGAGUUGGGAGUGAAGUUCUGUAAUCCCCAUGAGGGGUUCCUGGGAAAUGGGGGGUUUUGCUUAAUACUUCAGUAGAACAGAAGACGGGAAGGCACAGGAGACCUGGAAAUAUUCAGAAGCCUCCCGGAGACCUUCCGGAGAUGUGCGCCUCUCUUGGCAUCAAUCACAAUUUAAUAUCGCCAUCUGCAUGGAGCAGCAUGGGCCGUUGAAUUAUGUAUUACGGCUCAGCAGCCACCCUACAGGACGGGGUCUUUCUCCUGUGUUCCCUCUUUGAGGGAGAGGGUCAUGCAUUUUUUAACUCUACAGGUGCACUUUACUGUUCCCCACGUCCGUUGGCAUUACUGUCUUCCAGACCUCUGCUUUAGAUUAUCAGCCUGACAGGCUUUAAAUGCAUAAAAGAUGGGCAUGCUGCUCAAUGUGCUUGGGACACACAAAUCCACACAAGUAGCCUUUUAGGCAUCAUGCCUCCAAGACCUCAAACUGUGCCGUGUUGAACUGCCCAAAAUCUAAUGGAUUCAGGUUCCAUUUCCUACUGGGUGGAAAACAAAAGCAGGCCAUUUCCUCUGGCUAGCAGAGACCACAUCAUCCCCUAACUAAUGACCCUGCACCCUCCCCAAUCCAGGAAGACAAUGGGCUGGCCCUCCCGCCCAGACAGACAUGUGGCCAGCAGUGAGGCCCACGGCCGCCUGCUCCUCUGCAGCCAAUCCCUUCAGGCUUUUUAGGUACCCAUAAUAUUCAUCCACACUGGGCACCCAACAUCUUUCAGCAACUCAAAUUGUGGCCCAUUUGUCCUGGCUCAUGCCUGUGAAAUAGGGCUGUGAGUGGCCCUCUGAGAAGGCAGAGGUGUACAGACUUAAGACUGCCAGCUGCCCUUACCAAGCUGGCAGGAGAGGCAACUUUCUACUGGGCACAGCUCCUUUGCCAGCUCUUCUGCUGAACACUGCUGCCCUGCCACCGACUCACCUCAAACCACAUUUUUCACCUUGGAAUUCAUCAGAGGGAAUCCGAGCUGAGCUCCUGUUUAAUGACCACGAUGGUCCCUAUAUCAUCUGUGUUCUCUCCCUCCUCUCCUAAUCCUCCCCUGCUUCUCUCCCAUCACUCUUCAAAGAACUUCUCUCCCUCAAGUCUCCAUAUCCUCCCCAUCCCAAGUUUAAGCUUUUAGUAAUUAGACCAAGCACACAUAAUCAGCAAUAAAGAUAGGAAACUUCCUCAGAGGAAGGUUUCAUUUCUCAUCCACACCAGGAGUAAUCAUUUCCCCUCUUAAAAAAAAAAAUUAAACUAUACACAUAUAUCCCACAGCUGGUAGUCUGCAUUUUCUGCUGUUAAAAACCUACUGAACUAGAAGACAAAGGAGUAAUCCAUUUCUUUUUUUCCUGUCCUGUCUUUCUCUGAAGAAAAUCAAGGCACUUAUUAAAAUAUUUGAGAACUCAUUAAAACAUCUGCUUUGCUUGUGGGUAGUUAACCUUUUCAAUACCCGAACAUUAUCAACUCACAUUUUUGUUUGUCUAGCACUCACACUCAGAAACAUACACAAACACAUAUAGGGAACAUACAUCAGGUACAUAUGCAUAUUAGAAACUCACAAUUUCAUCCUGUAGGCACUUUCACACACUCUCAUAAAACAUCACAUAUCAUUUGCACAGACAUAUAUCCACCAAGAUAAAUACUAGAAUUUCUGUCUCUGUUUUUCUUGGAAAGAAAUGAAUUCUUGAAAUAUAUCAAUAAAAACUGUAAAGGAAACACACCUAAUCCUUCUAUACCUCCUUUUAAUAAUCGAUCUUUCAUUUCCAGAUUUGGAGACCCUUCAUUUCCUAAAUACAACCAUGCCCCCAACAGAAAUAAGCUAGACUGUCUUCUGAAGAACUCUUAUCAUCCAUUACUUUGGAGGCCUUUAUUGUGUUCCGAAAGGACCAGCAUAAAUGCUCUCUGUCCUGUUUCAGAGGGGUCCUGGCCAGCCAAAAGAGAGUUGAACUCAAGGGCAAACCCCUUUAGGCCAAUCUCCAUAUACAGAAGGGAAGUUGGCCUGUGGAAGUGUGAGCAACUAAGCCUGUUUGGUGAGUUGACAAGGGACUUCUUUCUCCAACUAUUUUGUGAAUACCUUUCACCUGGGGCAUAUUCCUUUCCCAAAGAGCAGUAGGCAAACCCAGGCCUGGACUGUUCGAGCAAUUUUCUCCUACAACUGGGAGGGAGGCCUAAGGGAUGGGCCAGUUCAGGUCAGAUGAGGCCUCAGAGGCCCAAGGAUGAAAGGAUUAAAGUGACACCUUCAGACAUAACUGUGAUAAAGGGAAUACUAAAUUCUAAAGUCAAAAAGGUCUGACUUUUCCCCCAUAAGGACUACUUAUGUGUUUUUAUUUGACAUAUAAAAUGUCAGAUUAUUUCUGAUUUCACAUCUUUCUGUCUCUCUCUUUUUAUUAAUUUUUUUCUCAGGUGCCCUUGCUUUGCUGAUGACCUAAGCACCAUCUGACUCUGCCUAGAGAUGACCUGGCCCUGGAUCAGGUAAGGAGAUUUUGUAGCCAUCCACUUACAAUUCUAAGGCACUUUGCCAGCUUCAAAAUGAAUUCACCUUCCUACAGAACCCGGUUUAAGACAAAUCACUGGUUCCUUGGUAAUCUGUGAUUUUUAGGAAGUAUCAAGAGGGAGUAAAAGCAUAUCUUUUUGGAAAUCUGGUCUGCCUUCUAGGGAAAUUCAACUGGAGUUGUUUUAAGGGAAUGCUGUUUGACCUGAGCAGGACAGUACUAUUUGCUAAAAUCUGCAGCCUGACUGUAGUGAGGACUUUCACAUAAUCCCAACUGCAAUGGCUUACUUCAUGACAGCCAGGUACAUCAGGCGACACCAGGCAACAACAUGGCGGCAGUCCCAAGGUAACAGAGCAAGAGUCAGAUAAUUUGGUUUAGAUGAACUGAAGGAAAAAGUCCUUGGUAAAAACAGGGAAAUUGAGGACUGGUUGGAUAUGAGAUUAGAGUCAGGUUGUUUGUUGUCAAAGGUGGGCCUGAGAAUAUGGGACAGGGAGACAAGGAUGGGGUCGGUGGGAGGCUGAGAUUAGCAAGAAGAAGGGAUGGGGCACCUGAAAUCUUAACUUGGUGACCUUCCUGGGUCUCAGCUUCUGGAACUGUAAUUCAAUGAGUGGACUGAAUAAGUGUGUAGUUUUCAAAAUUCUUUUUAGAAGUGUUUCUUUUUCCCUUGAGCAAAGCUGUACCCAGAACUCCGAUGUGCAAAGCAGAUAUAAGUGGCACUCUCCUUGGGUGCCAGGGGUAGGAUGGCCAGAAGCGGUGUGGUGUCCUGGCCUCACAGGCCCUACCAUCAUCUCUGAGGCCCUACCUUCCCGGUUAGAACGCCAGUGCUUCCUGGGACAGGGUUUGAAACCCGCUGAACUAGAUCUCAGUUCCGUUGGUACUUUAAAAGGUCUUAGAAAAGAGAAAGGGUGGAAGGAUCAGAAGACUUCUAUUGCUUAUAUAUACCUGAGGGCACUUGGUGGAGAAAAGCAGUUGAUCUCAUUUCCCCUGAAAAAAAUACACUUUAUUUACUCUGUAAUUUAUCCUCUAUCCUCAGCAUAAUCCCAUUCCACCCCUGAUUUCCACAGCAUUGUUUUCAUUUAAUUAUUAGCAGCAAAGCAAAGAAGCUCUUUCCCCUACUUAACUAGAAAGAAGGCUGUCACUUUGCCACUUUGUCACUUAACCACUGGCAAGCUGUGUGACCUUGGGUAAGUUAGUAAACAACUCUGAGCCUUUGUUUUCUCAUCUUUGCACUGAGAGUAUUGAUUCUACAGGUCAGUUCUAAAAUUCAAAGCCUACAGUAUAGUACGAGGGAGAAAAGAAAAACCUAUGGGUUGAACACAAAAUUUAAAAGAAUCUCUACCCUUCUAGAUAACAAAACAUUUGUUCAAGGUGUUACUCCUGGUUCAUAUGCUUGGUAAGCCUGAAACAAAACUAAGAUUUUCCACAUGAACAUGUCUGUCUUGCAUUAUGGAGAGUUCAAAUGUUUCUUUUAAUCACAUUAGCUCUAUUGACGUGAGUUUCUUUUCUUAACUGAGUCUGUGGCUGCAUAUUUAUAAAUAUUAUGGAUACACAGUUCUGUGUGUGAGUGUGUCAACAACAGUGAUGCAUGAAAAGACAGACCAAAAAGAGUUUCUUCAAAUCCUGCACCCAAAGGAUCUAAGUUCUCUGCCCAGGGUUUUAACCAAAUUUUGCUCACUAACCCUGGAUAAGCUGCUUUUUAAGGGUCAUUUCUGUGAGCUGAGGCUGGAUUUUGCUUUAUUCAAAGCAACUUCAGCCUGUCACAAGACAGUCUCAUAAAAUCUGUAUCUUGGCUUAAGCUGGGAAGAAAAUGAGCCAAUCCAUCAGCCCAGGAAUGUGGCUGUUUGACCACUUCCUAAGGCAACUGGGAAGGGAUGCAAUCUAUUCAAUUUAUGGGGCUGGGUGGCAGUGAAUGAUGCACUCCUGAAGGCACAGCAAAUGGAAAUCCCUGUGAACUUCUGCAGUGAUAAAGUUCAAAAUCUGAAUAAAAAGAACCUCUGGGAGGGCAGGAAGAAGGGGAUCAGAGAGCAGGAGAGGAAGCCAGCAUGUGAGCAUGGAAAAAGAAGUAAGGAACUCUUUUAAAAUAUCUCCAAGAACAGAACUGGAAAUGGGGCCUGGAAAUGGGGCCUGUGGAUAGCCUCUUCCCCUCAAUCUGGAUUCUAAAAAUGAACCUUCAUUUAAUCGUUAAAAUCCCUUAUUGCAAAUGCAAUUUUGAUGCCAUCGACGAGAGAUCUGAGAUUACAAUUCCUGACCAUUUCAGCAGACAUUUGGGGAAGGAAAUAGAAGAAUAAUUUUGAGGUCUCUCCAAAAAAUGAAGGAGAAAAAAAGGUAAUAUAAUAUUAUUUUUCAUUUAUUUUGAUUAACUGAUGGCUCAUGUUGAAACGUCAAUGGCUCCCCAUUGGCUCAUAAAUGAAAUCCAAACCCCUUGGCCUAGCAAUUUGGGCCUUGCAUUUAGCUCAAGCUAUUAUUUCCAACCUUAUUUGCAAUUAUUUCCCCUCCACACAUUCUAAACUGCGGCUUCAGAGUGUUCCCCAAACAAACCCAAUGCCUGUUUCUCUGCUCUCAUCUUCCCCUUGCCUAGUACACCCUUCCCAGCUCUAAAUCCUACCUAUCCUCUCAGUCUGGACUCAGAUUCCACCUCCGCCCUCCCUGAUCUCCCACACCAAGAGUACACUUUGCCCCUCUGUCUCAAACCACUGAGGACGAGCUCUUUACUCUCUUCUAGGGUGUGUGUGAGCUGGGGACAGCUGUGUGCAUUCAGCUGGAUCACUGCCACUUGAGGGCAUGACUCCUUUCUGCUUCAUCUUUGGCAAAUUUAUAGGGUCAAACCCAGAGCCUUUCCCAAAAGUCAGACUCAAUAACGCUUGAUGAAUUAAUGAAUUACUAAUUGACUAAAGUAACACCAAAAGGAGCACUAGAAAUCACAAGUUAUAAGAGAGCCUUAUCACAAGUUGUUCUGCUUCUCUAGUUAGUAUCCUUCCUUCCCAACCCACAGCUGCUAUUAAAUUUAACCUUUUUAGUUUAAAUAUUUUGUUUGGGAUGAAAAUAUCUAGUUGUAAGUCAAGGUAGAGUUGGAACUGUGUCUCCUAAAACACACUAACCUCAGAUAAUAAUGAUGAAAUUCAAAGGAUACUUACAUUUUGAUUCUAAUAGUGGUAAAAAUAAUUAUCCAAGGGUUUUCUUGUGCCCUCACAUCACUCCCAAGCCUUAUCCUCCCAAAGACAAAUUCUAGAUACUUGUUGUCAGUAGCACCAGGAAGAUAACAAACUAUGACUUCAUCACUGAACUGUUUGCUGGUAAAAGAUUGUCUCUCGCUGGGUUUCGGUUCACUUCUCUCUACACAUCCUUUCUCCUGGCUCUCACUAUGCAUUUUGGGCAAUCUGUUUUAUUUUUCCCCUUUGUCAAAACAAAUGUAAAUUAUUAUUACCACUCGGUCCAGUAAUUUGCAAUUCCCUUUAUCUUUUUCACUGAAAGACUGGCCAGAACUCAGAUCAUUGGUUAUCACAGGAUCUUUGAAGGCGGUGAGCAGGAUAUCUAUCACUGUACGUGCGCAUUAAGCUGGCCAGAAGCCCCAUCCACGGCAGGCUACUGGGGAGAGCUUUACUUUUGUAUUCCCAGGCCCCUUCUCUUUCCUCUGGAUUAGAUCAUGACUCUUUUAUGAAGACCCAGAGGGAAAUGGGAUUAUUAAGAGUCUUGCUGGGUAAAAGCCAUUUUGUCUUUAUGAUGACUUUUUUGAGUUCAGGGGCUGAGGAGUCUUAAUGCCAGAGUAGAAGUUAUUACCCAUUCGGGGAGCACCUUCUACACAGUACUCCCUGCGGAGCACACUUUCAGUGAUGAAGGAUGGAGAAAAGGAAAGGAAAGGGGAGAGAUUAAAAAAAAUAAGUAGAGGCGAGAACACUGAAAGCAGAACAAGGAGGAAAAAAAAUGCAAAGAAGAGACGUAAUCUGAGAUGAGAAUCCAGCAGAGAAUGUCUCUAAAGAACAGUGUUGAGAGAUAAUCUGAUGCUUAUAAAACACAGACAAAGGUUUAGUGGGUUAAGAGCUUAGAGUGAAUAUUUACUGAUUAAAAAAGCUCAUAAAAAUAACACAGACUUACCACAACGGUUACAGUGUGCUUUCUAUAAUCACAAGAUAUAGUUUAUUUCACUGAAGCUGUUCUGAAGAUUUAAUGACUUCAGAAUAGGCUUAAUAUGUACUAAACAAUAUUCUAUGUAAUCUGACAUAGCACAGCAACCCUAUGGAGUAGGUAUUAUUAUCAAAUACAUUUUGCAGAUAAGGAAACUGAGUUACAGAAGGACUAAGUAUUUUGGAUCACAGAGCUGCCAAGUAAACUGGAUUUUAAAUCCAGGUGAUCUGGCUCCAAUGCUACAGAAGCUGGGAAACCCAAUGAAGGUCUCUCUAAAACUUUAUGUCACAAGCUUAUUUAGUGGUAUAUAGGGAAAGACAAAUGUUUUGCCUGUUUGAAACGCCUUUUUCUCUUUGUGUGCCAGUAAUCUGUCUGUGUGAACAAUGAGAGAUGUGUUUGAGACUGGGGUGUGAGAGGGCUGGAAGCACUUAACACCUUUUCUGCUCCCUGUAUACACAGGCACCCCGCUCCUUGUUAUCCUGGCCGUCUUCCCUGUGUGCUGGGUGGGAUGGGAGAGGGUGGUGUGGACUGGAUGCUCAAGUCGGAAGCCAUGGUCACAACACUGGAGGGUUUCUGCUUGGCAGCUUUCAGUUCUUGCCUUUCUUCUCAACCCCACUCAUCCCUAUCCUAAAGGCCUUGCUGUUUUUGUUCUGCAUAGGAGCAGCAUUUUCAGAAAUGGGGGAUUUAUUUUUAUAGCACAGCUGGUCUGCCAAAGGUCACAUAAUUUGGCAAUGUUCCCAGUGGUUAAAAAUUAAUUUCUCCUUAUUAAUACAACCAAGGUCCCAUAGGAUCAGAGCUCAGCCUUAUCUGAACUUGACAGCUUCCUAAACCUUUAGAAGAUGCUUUCUCCUGGAGGACCAGCCACACUGUAAGACCACUGUGUCCAGGACUCUAACCCCACUGAACCCUGUUAGGUAAUGAAACUAUUAAGCCUUUCAUCCAUUUCUCAUCAGGCAGAUAAAGCUUUGAAACACACUGUAGGCUCUCCAGGACAAACAUUCACAGUAUCUUCCAAGAAUGGGUUAAUUAAAAAAAAAAAAUUCUUUGCCUGGAAGGAAGAGCACAAAGAUCCUAACUUCUAGGAUCAACACACAUCUGCCACUCAAAGAAGGUGCCUCAAAGAUUAUCCAGUGUCAAAUGAUGGUCAGAUGAUAAAAUACCUCAGAAAUGUUAGUGAUACUCCAAAUUACUGCCCAGAUGUCACUUUUCAAGUCCUUUCUCAUCAGUACAAGAAAUUAAAAAGGUAUUACGAUUUUCCUCCAUCCUUUAAAAAAGGAGAAUUUCAUCUCUAUUUCCUUAAGCCCUUCCCAAGUGGACUUUUGGGGAAUAUAUGCUGAAAACUCUUUACCAAUGAACCUGGCUCUGAAUUUUAUAACCGCGUAAUUGUUGCACACUUGGGUCACCCAAUGUCAGCUUAUACUCUUGAUUACUUUAAUGAACAGUUGAGUGAAAUGAAAAACACCAGGCAGGGUCCUCAGAAUCAUCUACUCCAUGGUGUCGCUCUUCCUCUCCCCACUUAACUCCCCUCCCCAGACUCUUCCCCAACUGUUAUUUGCAUUCAUGCCUCACUGCAUAUGAACUGGCAUUUGGACUCCUAGCCUUUUCUAUACCAUGAAGAUAGGCACUGGCCUUUAGGUUGCUGAACGUGGACUUUAUAUUCAACAGCAGGGGAAAGGGGGCAUUUGGUAGACAGCAGGAGUCCUGUCUGGAUAGCCCAAGAUUCUAGUCAUGGAAGCCUUCCAGCCUUUUAUUUUGCUAGUUGGGUAUUCUGUGGCUUACUCUAAGGGCUCCAUGUAAUAACACAGAAGUCCAAACCUGCUGUCCUGCCUGAGCAUUUGCAAUUCUACCAGGCUCAUCUUGGACAAGAAGGGGCUUGCCCUGGAGCACUCCCAGGGAGCUCCUCUCUUUAUACUGUUUUGCACUGUGUGUCCCGUUGGUAACUAGCAACAGCUUCCCUACUCCGUUGGGUAAAGUUUACUGGGCACCCUCUGACUGCGUGCGUGAGACCAGUCCCCAGAGUCUAGAGCAGGCUGCCUGCAUACAACCUUGGAGUUUAUAGUUUUGCUUGCAAAUUAUCAUGCUUGUCCAUAGCCAUUCCAUAUUUUGGGUAGACAGGCUAAAACAGAAACCCUCUUCAAACCCUUAUCCGGAGCUAGACCGCCAUAAUUUCUUUCAGGAUUUAGUUGAACCCAGGCCUGUCUCCCCCAGCCAAUUUACACUUCUUAUCUGAUCGUCCAGUCCAGAAGGAAGGUUGAAUUGACCGCGUCUGCCCGUGUCCAUGGUAAUGGUGUUAAAACCCUGGCACAGAUCAAAGCUCUCUACGCGAAGGGGGGAGGGGUAGUUGUUGGUUAUAGAGUCCCUGUUCUUUUGGCCCCAAGCGUUGUGUCCCGGAGGUGGGGACGAUAGGGCUGGGAGUUGCCACCAUCUGAAGAAACCCAUUGUCAGGGCCUGAAUGAUUUCCUGAGCAAAACCCCAGUCCCCUGUGGACCACGAUUAACUAUAGUAAAAGGGAGUUUGUGGCCGGGCGCUGACGCGGAAUGGCUAGCGCCAGGGGGCUCUCCUCUCUGUCUGAAACCCAAAGGAAGGGGAAGCGAAGGGAGGGGGCGAGUAGUGAGCACCAGCCAAUAAGCCAGAGCCUCGAUCCCCUGCUCUUCCCGAGAAAUUCAACCGGAGCCGCAGAAGCGGCGAUCCCCUAAGCUUGGCCAGGAGAACUGAUUCCCACCCCACCAGCACGAUUCUGAGGGGCGACCGGUUCAUUGCACCCCCACCAGUCCCUGAGCUUUAGCCCUGCGCCUUGGAUGCUUUCCACCCAACCGCCGGGCGCCGGUGACCUGGUGGGCACGCUGUGGUGCAGUCAGCCCGAGGCAAAGGGUGGGGCUAGCCGUUUAACCACAGCUCGCCUCACCUCCAUUAACUUGUGUUGAUAUUAAAAAGAAAUCAAUCAGUGAAAAUGAAGCGUUGGCCGUGACCAUUUUUCUCACGUGGAAAAGCAAAGAGCGAGGCGGCAAGGGAGGGGAGGCGGGGAACCCGCCUGCGAUCGCAGAGGUUUCUCCCAAGCAGAGAACCGCCGCUGCUACUUAACUUUCUGGCAAUGGGCAGCGUGGAGCAAAUGCCGCAUGCUUCUCCCUAGGGGUGUCCUUAGUCAGCAGGAGAAGAGGACAAGGCUGGAAGCAGCCAACUUCGCCCAGGCUUGAGCUUUGGUUUUGCUUUCGCUGGGAAUAUUUUUGCCUAAUAGAAUGUUUAUGGAUCGCUCGGCUCUAUUUCUGCUGCGUAGCCCAAACAAAUCGAUGUGGCGUUAGAGACGGCGCUUAAGGGUGGUGUGGCCUGGGGGCCUACCGCGUCCCCACCACGUGGAUGCCCGCGCGCUGCGCGCUCUUCACCUGCUGCAGCGCACCGGCGGACACCCGGCGCGCAGCGCUUCUGCAGGCUGUGCAAUCUGCGCGCGUUUCCGCGGCUGGAGCUGCCUCCUUCCCGCCACUCUCCUCCCUCCGCUCCGAAAUCCCACCCGGCUUCCCGCCACCCAGCUGGGUCAGGACGCGGAGCCCCAGCUCCGUCGGCCCCGAGCCUCAGUCCCUUACAGCCGAGGCGGCGGGCUGCCCUCAUGCACCUUCCGUCUUCCCUUUCACCCGACUGCUUCUCCGAAUGAGUUCCCGCCGCCGCUGGCGGCGGCUGGGCCGGCCCCCACCCAGCCGGCGAGCACCGGGUCCUCGCGGCCAGUCUUCACCUUUAUUCUUGCUGGCUCCUCACCUCACCAGGAGGAGGGUAGCUCUUGAAAUCAGCAAAGAGGGAACCAGCCGGGAAGAGGGGACGGGUUUCCUCUCUCAAAAAAAAAAAUAAA